rnacentral:rRNA from 1 species
CAGCAGCCGCCGCGGGAAUACGUAGGGUGCAAGCGUUAAUCGGAAUUACUGGGCGUAAAGCGUGCGCAGGCGGUUAUAUAAGACAGAUGUGAAAUCCCCGGGCUCAACCUGGGAACCGCAUCCAAAACUGGUGAGCUAGAGUACGGUAGAGGGUAGUGGAAUUUCCUGUGUAGCGGUGAAAUGCGUAGAUAUAGGAAGGAACACCAGUGGCGAAGGCGACUACCUGGACUGAUACUGACACUGAGGUGCGAAAGCGUGGGGAGCAAACAGGAUUAGAUACCCGUGUAGUCCCUGUCUCUUAUAA